AUUUACGAGAGAAUGAAUCGUUUCUUCUGGAGGUAUCGGAAGAACUCUAUAAGACACGAUACGUGUCGAUUUAUGACUGGGUAACGAGUAAAUAGAAAAUAUAUUUUUUUUAUUUUUCCUAAUUUUCUUCUCUCUCUCUCCCUCGACGGAAGUUCCAUCGAUUCACACUUCAAAAUCUCAAAUCCAUCUUCUCUUUUUCCUUUCCGGUCAUCGAUUCUCUUCUCCACAUUUGGGCUUCUCCUCAAGAGACGGAUGAUUUGCAGGAUCACAUAAUUAUUUGCGGCUUUGGUCGAGUUGAGCAGGUAUUUUGCAUUCACAACUACUUACCAGAAAAUGUGAUCCAACUAGUAAUCUUUGUGGUAGUAGAAUUGCAGGUUUUAUGCUUCUGAAGUACUUCUUGCACUUGAGUAUCUUCAUAUGAUGGGUGUAGUGUACAGAGAUUUGAAGCCAGAGAACAUAAUGGUGAAGUGGCUUCCGGUGUUAAUGCUGGAAUUGCUUCAGUAAUUAAAUAAAUUAGAGGCAAAGAGGAUAUUGAAUCUUUGUAAGUUUCAAUUCCUGUGAGUUUCUUCAUUCACUAAUAUUGUAAUCUCUUUGUAUUAGAUGUCUUGAUAAGGUUCAUUCACUAAUAUUGUAAUCUCUUUUUACAUACAAUUUGAUUCAAUUAAAGGUUUACAUAAUUAAGAAA